CAUACUCAGAAAGUACUUUGUGAUGAUUGCAUUCAAGUGACAGAAGUGAACAUUCCUAUUGAUAGAGCAGAUUGGAAACACUCUUAUUGUAGAAUCUGCAAAUGGAGAUUUGGACUGCUUUGAGGCCUACGGUAGUAAAGGAAAUAACUUCAUAUAAAAACCAAACGGAAGCAUGCAAACAUCACAAAGAAGUUUCUGAGAAUGCUUCUGUGUAACUUC
rnacentral:lncRNA from 10 species